rnacentral:rRNA from 1 species
AAUGAACGCUGGCGGCGCGCCUAAUACAUGCAAGUCGAGCGAGAAGACGUAGCAAUACGUUUGUAAAGCGGCGAACGGGUGAGGAAUACAUGGGUAACCUACCCUCGAGUGGGGAAUAACUAGCCGAAAGGUUAGCUAAUACCGCGUACGCUUCUUGGACUUCGGUUCAGGGAGGAAAGCGAUACCGUGGGUAUCGCGCUCUUGGAUGGGCUCAUGUCCUAUUAGCUUGUUGGUGAGGAACGGCUCACCAAGGCUUCGACGGGUAGCUGGUCUGAGAGGACGAUCAGCCACACUGGCACUGCGACACGGGCCAGACUCCUACGGGAGGCAGCAGUAAGGAAUAUUGCGCAAUGGGCGAAAGCCUGACGCAGCGACGCCGC